rnacentral:rRNA from 1 species
GACGAACGCUGGCGGCGUGCUUAACACAUGCAAGUCGAACGGAAAGGCCCUGCUUUUGUGGGGUGCUCGAGUGGCGAACGGGUGAGUAACACGUGAGUAACCUGCCCUUGACUUUGGGAUAACUUCAGGAAACUGGGGCUAAUACCGGAUAGGAGCUCCUGCUGCAUGGUGGGGGUUGGAAAGUUUCGGCGGUUGGGGAUGGACUCGCGGCUUAUCAGCUUGUUGGUGGGGUUGUGGCUUACCAAGGCUUUGACGGGUAGCCGGCCUGAGAGGGUGACCGGCCACAUUGGGACUGAGAUACGGCCCAGACUCCUACGGGAGGCAGCAGUGGGGAAUAUUGCACAAUGGGCGGAAGCCUGAUGCAGCAACGCCGCGUGCGGGAUGACGGCCUUCGGGUUGUAAACCGCUUUCGCCUGUGACGAAGCGUGAGUGACGGUAAUGGGGAAAGAAGCACCGGCUAACUACGU